AACGAACGCUGGCGGCAGGCUUAACACAUGCAAGUCGAACGCUCGUAGCAAUACGGGAGUGGCGGACGGGUGAGUAACGCGUGGGAACGUGCCCUGAGGUACGGAAUAACUGCGGGAAACUGCAGCUAAUACCGUAUGAGCCCCUAACGGGGGAAAGAUUUAUCGCCUUGGGAGCGGCCCGCGUCGGAUUAGCUAGUUGGUGGGGUAACGGCCUACCAAGGCUUCGAUCCGUAGCUGGUCUGAGAGGACGAUCAGCCACACUGGGACUGAGACACGGCCCAGACUCCUACGGGAGGCAGCAGUGGGGAAUCUUGCGCAAUGGGGGCAACCCUGACGCAGCCAUGCCGCGUGAAUGAUGAAGGCCUUAGGGUUGUAAAGUUCUUUUGCCCGUGACGAUGAUGACGGUAACGGGAGAAUAAGCUCCGGCUAACUUCGUG
rnacentral:rRNA from 1 species